CGGUAACAGCUCAAAUUUGAAAUCUGGCCCUUUUAGGGUCCGAGUUGUAAUUUGUAGAAGAUGCUUUGGGUGUGGCUCCGGUCUAAGUUCCUUGGAACAGGACGUCAUAGAGGGUGAGAAUCCCGUAUGUGACUGGCGGCCUUCGCCCGUGUAAAGCUCUUUCGACGAGUCGAGUUGUUUGGGAAUGCAGCUCUAAAUGGGAGGUAUAUUUCUUCUAAAGCUAAAUACUGGCCAGAGACCGAUAGCGCACAAGUAGAGUGAUCGAAAGAUGAAAAGCACUUUGGAAAGAGAGUUAAACAGUACGUGAAAUUGUUGAAAGGGAAGCGCUUGCAACCAGACUUGCAUGCCGUCGAUCAUCGUGGGUUCUCCCGCGUGCACUCGGCGGCGUUCAGGCCAGCAUCGGUUCCGGUGGUUGGAUAAAGGCCUUGGGAAUGUGGCUCCUCUCGGGGAGUGUUAUAGCCCUCGGUGCAAUGCAGCCUACUGGGACCGAGGACCGCGCUUCGGCUAGGAUGCUGGCGUAAUGGUUGUAAGCGACCCGUCUUGAAACACGGACCAAGGAGUCUAACAUCUAUGCGAGUGUUAGGGUGUUAAACCCUUCCGCGAAAUUAACGUGAACGGAGGUACGAACCCUUUAGGGCGCAGUAUCGACCGGUCCUGAUGUCUUCGGAUGGAUCUGAGUAAGAGCAUAGCUGUUGGGACCCGAAAGAUGGUGAACUAUGCCUGAAUAGGGUGAAGCCAGAGGAAACUCUGGUGGAGGCUCGCAGCGGUUCUGACGUGCAAAUCGAUCGUCAAAUUAGGGCAUAGGGGCGAA
rnacentral:rRNA from 1 species